GCCUUCGUGGUGCAAUGGACAACAGACUCGGCGCGUAUUCGAGAUGUCUGAGGUUCGAGUCCCGGCGAAGGCA
rnacentral:tRNA from 1 species